ensembl:miRNA Gm44384 predicted gene, 44384
UUUCUGUUGGUUUGCACCUUGUGCCUCUGGGAUAUUCCCAAGUGUUUCUUCUUCUUCUUCAGCAGCAGCAGCAGCAGCAGCAGCAGCAGCAGCAGCAGCAGCAGCAGCAGCAGCAAC